UGCGAUUAGUUACCAAAAAGGACCGAUCUACAUGCCCAAAUUCCUCAAUGAUCAGUGCCGGCCCUCACCUAUAUGAUCUAACUCCCUGGAGACCCUUCAAGUAAAUGCUCUCAAGCCCCUUUUUACACCUUUAUAUUGUCACCUUGCUACUCUUAUAAUACCUCUACUAUUCCUUAUGUUUGUCUUAGAUAUCAGAGGGUUCCUUAUUAGCUACCCUCUAGCAAGAGAACUUUCAUUCAUGCCAUUUC
rnacentral:lncRNA from 1 species